rnacentral:misc_RNA from 1 species
AGAGAGAGAGAGAGAGAGAGCUUGCAUCAGUUUUUGGGAAGGCGGUCAUUGAUAGUACUUAAGAUGUGAAGCCAAGGCGUCCAACCUCUUCAUUUAGCUUUUAAUCUGAAAGUAAAUCCAAUUAUUGCUUUCUGUGUUUCUGAAUCACGACAGAUAUGUGAAUAUGACUGGAGUGAAUAUACUCCAUAUGGGUAAUAAAUGCAGGCAUGCAUUAUUAAAGGAUGAAACUGAAGUUUUGUUUGCACCAUAUAUCCACAGCAAUCUCCUUUGUCACUAUGAAUUUGAAACAGUUUGAUUGUUUAAUUGAUGUCCAUUAAACCAUUUAGGGAGUUACUCAUCCAAAAUACUCAAUGCAGAUUCAUGUACAUGUGGAA